AUUGAACGCUGGCGGCAUGCCUUACACAUGCAAGUCGAACGGUAACGCGGGGGCAACCCUGGCGACGAGUGGCGAACGGGUGAGUAAUACAUCGGAACAUAUCCAGUAGCGGGGGAUAACCUAUCGAAAGAUUGGCUAAUACCGCAUACGAUCUACGGAUGAAAGCGGGGGACCGCAAGGCCUCGCACUAUUGGAGUGGCCGAUGUCAGAUUAGCUAGUUGGUGGGGUAAAAGCCUACCAAGGCGACGAUCUGUAGCUGGUCUGAGAGGACGAUCAGCCACACUGGAACUGAGACACGGUCCAGACUCCUACGGGAGGCAGCAGUGGGGGAAUUUUUGGACAAUGGGCGCAAGCCUGAUCCAGCCAUGCCGCGUGAGUGAAGAA
rnacentral:rRNA from 1 species